UGAAAUUGGCUCAGUGGUUUAAGAGGAGAUGUCAUUUAAAGUAAAAGUUUACGGACGACGGACGGACGGACGACGGACGGACGCCGGACGAAAAGUGAUCACAAAAGCUCACCUUGUCACUUUGUGACAGGUGAGCUAAAAAUGGAUUUCAGUCGGGCGUGACCAGUCGCUCGGUUCCAGCAGGUUCAGAGUUAAAGGAACCGAAACAAUUAAUUGUAUACAUGUUAGUGAUGUAAGUAAAACUAUGUAUUUCUUUUCUUUAAGUAACCAAGUUUAUUUUUCUAUAUUGAUUGCUCAAAAAUGAUCUAAAAAAAAUUUAACACCUUAGAGUUAGUAAUGUAAACGGCACAGGCAGGAUUUUUUUGAAAAUAUAAAGGACGCACACACACCUUCAAACACAAAUAUGUGCGCAAACAUCACACAACCACACAAAUAUACACCAGUUAAGUAAAAUUAACUGGACGUGUCAAAUCAUUCAUUUAUUUAUGAUAUUAACAUGAGCUGUAAGGAAACUAUGUUUCGGAUAUUUCUGUGUGUACUUACUUUUUUCUGUAGGUACAAUCCUAUAGAAGGUAACUUAGUAUUUACAGUUAAUACAGAUAAGUUUAAUUAAAUCAAUUACUUCAAUGCAUGUAAGACAUUACUUUUAUUUAUGUGUGAUAAUCAUUGUUUUCCCUUUAAUUAAAAAGAAUUGGGAAUAUCAAGAUUUUUUUUUAUUUGGUUUAUAUCGGUUACAUAUAGAUAUUGAUUGAUUGAUUUUUUUGUCAAUUUAUUAAUUGGCAAACCCAUAUUGCAACUAGGCCAGUUGAAAUAAUUCAGGGGAUUGUUGUUUUUGGGUUUCUUUUAAACAAUCUUGUUUUCAGCGGGUUGUAUAUUUUCAAUAGAAAAUAAUCUUUUUAAGGAAAAUGAAAACACAAUUAUGGUAACAAUACAAUGUUUAUUUUAUACGUUUCAUGAAUUUUAAGACGUGCAGAAUGUUUUUAUCUAUUCCACUCAGAGUUUUGAUAAUAUAUUUAUAAUGUAAAUAUUUUUAGUCGCUACUUUAACGCAUGUUUUGAUUGAUUAAAGUAAGAUUGAUAAUUAAUUUAUUGUAUUUUUUACUCAUCAAACUACAUCUUUAUAAUGUAAAUAUUGUAGUAGCUACUUUAAAGCAUGUGUUUAUUGAUUAAAGUAAGACUGAUCAUUAAUUUAUCAUUUUUUUUUACUUAUAAAACUACAUCUAAAAUUCAGAACGUAAAUGUUUAAACAUUCUUUAGUUAUAUUUGUAUAUUGUUAACCAUCAUUUUGAAUUUACUUUGUUCGAUAACAUUAUACUUAAUCUAUUUUAAAGUAUGUUGUUCUAGUUGCUGUAUUAAAUUAUUUAAGGUUAAUAUACAGCAGAGUGUGGCCGGAAUCUUGAUGAUAAUCGGCUUCAAACCGGGGGCAUUAUAACUUACUUGGCGGAUUAUCACUUUCCGGCCCGCCUCUGACGUCUAUUUAUGUUAAUAUUUUUGGAGGAAAGAAACAAAAGUGACCAAUUUUCGAAGGAUGUAACCGAUCUUCUCCGAGAACUGGACGUGAAAUAUUGUUUGACAGAGAGUAUAGGAAAUGCAAGGAAAAGGGUGCAAGAACCGAGAUUUAAAAAAUGGAUAAUGAUUGUAAAUGAGCGGGAAUGCUUAUAAAUUUGUACACAAACUCUGACGAGAAUAAGCACUUGCCAGCUGCGACAUUCUACAGAAGCUUGAAUCAAGCAAUAAGGAGUGAAAACCCUGAUUAUAUUUGGGAAAAAAGUGAAAAAUUGCUGAAUAAAGCUCUACAUAUAAUCGAAACAUUUGAGAAUAUAUUCAGAGG